rnacentral:rRNA from 1 species
GACGAACGCUGGCGGCGUGCUUAACACAUGCAAGUCGAACGGAAAGGCCCUGCUUUUGUGUGGUGCUCGAGUGGCGAACGGGUGAGUAACACGUGAGUAACCUGCCCUUGACUUUGGGAUAACUUCAGGAAACUGGGGCUAAUACCGGAUAGGAGCUCCUGCUGCAUGGUGGGGGUUGGAAAGUUUCGGCGGUUGGGGAUGGACUAGCGGCUUAUCAGCUUGUUGGUGGGGUAGUGGCUUACCAAGGCUUUGACGGGUAGCCGGCCUGAGAGGGUGACCGGCCACAUUGGGACUGAGAUACGGCCCAGACUCCUACGGGAGGCAGCAGUGGGGAAUAUUACACAAUGGGCGGAAGCCUGAUGCAGCAACGCCGCGUGCGGGAUGACGGCCUUCGGGUUGAAAACCGCUUUCGCCUGUGACGAAGCGUGAGUGACGGUAAUGGGUAAAGAAGCACCGGCUAACUACGUG